AGUGGGAUAACUGGGUGAAAUGGUAGUUUCAUUCCUACUUUUUUGAGGAAUGUCCAUACUGCUUUCCAGACUGGUGGCACCAGUUUGCAGUCCCACCGGCAAU
rnacentral:pre_miRNA from 1 species